UACGGGGGGGGCAAGCGUUGUUCGGAAUUACUGGGCGUAAAGGGCUCGUAGGUGGCCAACUAAGUCAGACGUGAAAUCCCUCGGCUUAACCGGGGAACUGCCUUUGAUACUGGCGAUCUCGAGUUCGGGAGAGGUGAGUGGAACUGCGAGUGUAGAGGUGAAAUUCGUAGAUAUUCGCAAGAACACCAGUGGCGAAGGCGGCUCACUGGCCCGAUACUGACGCUGAGGUGCGAAAGCGUGGGGAGCAAACAGG
rnacentral:rRNA from 1 species